CUGCAGCAGAUGAUUUGGGAAAAUGAAGCUUGGAUUUUUUUUUAUUUUCUUCUUGCAUCAAACAAGUGCAGUGCUGGAACUGACUGUCCUUCCUCAAAAUGCUAAACUGGGAGCCAAUAUCAUCAUCCCUUGUAUAUUCCAUGUGGAUACACCCCCUGUAAACCCUGAAUACCUAUCAAUACAUUGGUACUUUCAAGGAAAGGAGAUUUUGAGAUAUGGUACCAUUAUAAAAACAUCACAUCCUAGGGCGUCCUUAAACACAACUAAGGCACCAGAUGGGAAUGCUUCUCUAUUGAUAUUUAAUGUAACAAUAUUUGAUAGUGGAAUUUACAAGUGUUUAGUGAUCUACACUCCAGAAAAAAAGGAGAAGGAUGUCACGCUUGAUGUACAUGCUGCUCCAUUAAUCACAAUCACAAAUAACAUUGUUACUAAGAAUGUGGAGAGUUUUAUCAACAGCACAAUCACCGGCUUCUAUCCCAUCAGCAUUGAGAUUAAAUGGCUCAGACACAAAGAGGUCCUGGAAGAUGUUACUCAUUACCCACCUCAAAGACAUUCUGAUGGAACCUACUCAAUGAAAAGUUCUGUCUCAGUAACACCCACAGAGGAGAAUGAAAAUCAGACCUACUCAGUCUGGGUCCAACACUCAUCUCUUCAUGAACCUCUGCAGAAAGAUUUCCAGCUUGUCUAUGGAGCUCCUCCAUUAAUCACAAUCACAAAUAACAUUGUUACUAAGAAUGUGGAGAGUUUUAUCAACUGCACAAUCACUGGCUUCUAUCCCAUCAGCAUUGACAUUAAAUGGCUCAGAGACAAAGAGGUCCUGGAAGAUGUUACUCAUUACCCACCUCAAAGAAAUUCUGAUGGAACCUACUCAGUGAAUAGUUCUGUCUCAGUAACACCCACAGAGGAGAAUGAAAAUCAGACCUACUCAGUCAGGAUCCAACACUCAUCUCUUCAUGAACCUCUCCAGAAAGAUUUCAAGCUUGUUUAUAGAGAUGUAACAGGAAGAGCUGUGACACCAAACAAAACAAUAAACGUACCAGGAGACAUUGUUACACAAGAAAAUAUGGGAAGAAUAGAAAGAUGCCCCAGACCAGAUAAGUCAGGAGAACCUUUAUUAGCAAAAAGACCUCAGACCAGUGACACAUUUGUAUCAGGAGGAGAUUGUACUGAGAAGAAUAUCAACCAACCUGCAGGUCCUAAAGCGCCAGAAGUAGAAGCUAUAGAAAAACACUUGCUGGGAAAGAGUUCAGAAGCUGAGUAUCAGUGUAAAUGCUCCAAGUAUUUCCCAGAUGAUCUGCAAGUCACAUGGUAUCAAAUAGAGAUAGGAGGCGAAUACUCUCCAGUUCUCCCACAAGUAAAGCAGCCCGAUGGCACUUAUACCUGUACAGCAAGAUUAAUCAUUUCCUCACAGAACUCAGAGAGCGGACUUAAAUUUAUGUGCAAAGUGGAACAUCCUGCUCUGAGAAUGCCAAUUGUAAGAAGGGAAAGAUAAGUUAAAUGAUGCAUGAGUACGUAAUACCUGAUUCUCAAUAUGACAAUCACACACUGUAAAACAAACUGGUCACUGUUAAAUGAAAGUUGGCAGCCAAGAAUGUAUUACAUAAUAUACACGGUGCAAAUUAAUGACUGAGGUUUGUUCUUGUGAUCCCAGGGAGAUAAAGAGACUGAAGCAGCUGAUGCUAUGGAAGGAGGGAGGGGAAAAAUGAUUUACAAUCUACCUUGAGGACCACUGGUUCUAACAGCUGUGCAGCAUCUCUUAUCUGCAAAAUUCUAAACAAAAUAAGGCUAUAAAAUAAAAUGACACUUCUCAAUUCAGUAAGGACAUGAA